rnacentral:rRNA from 1 species
CUCGUAGGCGGUUCGUCGCGUCCGGUGUGAAAGUCCAUCGCUUAACGGUGGAUCUGCGCCGGGUACGGGCGGGCUGGAGUGCGGUAGGGGAGACUGGAAUUCCCGGUGUAACGGUGGAAUGUGUAGAUAUCGGGAAGAACACCAAUGGCGAAGGCAGGUCUCUGGGCCGUUACUGACGCUGAGGAGCGAAAGCGUGGGGAGCGACA